GUGACGGCCCAACGACGACGACGCGGUAAAACGGGGAGGCAAACGCCAAGAGAAGGCUUCCUCCCAAAGCCUUCCAAGCCAGACACACGGCCGCCGCAGCCGAGAUGGCCGCCGGAGAUGCCACCCACGCGCCGCCGGCCGCGGAGGCGCAGUCUCUGGUGGAUUCGUUCUGCGCAGUCACCUCGGCGACCUUCUUCCUCGAGGGCCACAACUGGGCCCUCGAGGCCGCCGUUCGCUCCUUCUAGGACAGCACGCCGAUGGCCCCGAUCCCGCACCCCAGCCCGUGCUCGCCUCCGUGCUCCUCACCACACGCCACGGCACCAUCGACGACCUCCUCCAUACCGGCGAGCUUGCGCUAUGUUCAGUUGUGCUCAUGUCCGGGCUCAUCAUAAUCCUGAGCAGCGCUGCCAAGAUAUCUCACCAGGCGGCAGGCGCAGGCCCUCACUGGCCAGACCACCAAGUGGUACGCCUGCUGCACCAUCGAGCUGGUCCCGGACGACGAGAUAGAUCCUGGAUCCAACCAGUACUCCAGGCUGGAAGAGUACCCUGAGGACGAGAGCGACUGCGAGUCCAGCGUGGACACCGGCGACGAGGACAUGGAGAACACCAAGUUCCUCCAGCCUCACACGCACGUGAUCUCCUUCCAGAAGAGGCAGGCACUAGUGACGUACCUGGAGAACAACAAGGCCGGCAUCACCGUGUUCGGGUUCACGCUGGACCGGUCGUACCUCCACACCAUAACAGUCGACUUCUCGUGAAGACGAGGGAAUGUGUGUAUGUAUAUCGUCCUUCCCAGCCAGGUGGUUCUAUUCCGUUCCAUGCUUUCUUUGCUGUUGCCCCGUUUGAUCCUUGUGAAAAACAGGGGGAGUGGGUGUGCGCGCGCGGGGGUGGCACGUGAGUGGUGUGCACUUGUACUAGCAGUGAUUUUGUGUGAUGGUUGUGUAAAUUAUUAUGGCUUGAUUGCUCGUGGAUGUAAGGUGUAUGUACAGGUUUAGAUGAGUGCGUGCGUGCGUGCCGAUUGGUCUUGCAGGUUUAUAAUAUCGGGUUGUAAGCCAACAUCAGUUGUAGAGUAAGUCUUACAAAAUGAAGUUUUACCUUUAUUUUUGUUCUACAACGGCCUUCCUCUCUCCUGAAGAAAAUGUUUUUUGUUC